AUUGAACGCUGGCGGUAGGCCUAACACAUGCAAGUCGAGCGGCAGAAGAGUGCUUGCUUGUGGUUUCAGCGGCGGACGGGUGAGCAAUGCAUAGAAACCUGCCUGGUUGUGUGUGAUAACGUCCGGAAGUGGGCGCUCAUACCGCAUUAGUGCUGAGGGAGUACGUGUGGGAGCUUCGGAUCUCACGCUAUCACAUGAGCCUAGGUCGGAUUAGCUAGUUGGCGGGGUAAAGGCCUACCAAGGCGACGAUCCGUAACUGGUCUGAGAGGAUGAUCAGUCACACUGGAACUGAGACACGGUCCAGACUCCUACGGGAGGCAGCAGUGGGGAAUAUUGGACAAUGGGCGAAAGCCUGAUCCAGCCAUGCCGCGUGGGUGAAGAAGGUCUUCGGAUUGUAAAGCACUUUUGUUGGGAAGGAAGGGCAGCAAGUUAAUACCUCGCUGUUCUGACGUUACCAACAGAAUAAGCACCGGCUAACUUCGUG
rnacentral:rRNA from 1 species